rnacentral:rRNA from 1 species
UACGUAGGGUGCAAGCGUUGUCCGGAAUUAUUGGGCGUAAAGAGCUCGUAGGCGGUUUGUUGCGUCGGCUGUGAAAUCCCGAGGCUCAACCUCGGGUCUGCAGUCGAUACGAGCAAACUAGAGUGUUGCAGGGGAGACUGGAAUUCCUGGUGUAGCGGUGAAAUGCGCAGAUAUCAGGAGGAACACCCGGUGGCGAAGGCGGGGUCUCUGGGCAACAACUGACGCUGGAGGAGCGAAAGCGUGGGGAGCGAACAGGA